GCGGGAUUGAAUGAGCCCGCGGAGCCGCGGGCCGCCGUCGUGAGCCGCGCAGGCCCCGGAGCCGCCGCCAUGGCCACGCCGCUGCCCGGCCGCGCGGGCGCGGGGCCCGCCACGCCGCUGUCGCCCACGCGCCUGUCGCGGCUGCAGGAGAAGGAGGAGCUGCGGGAGCUCAAUGACCGCCUCGCGCACUACAUCGACCGCGUCCGCGCGCUCGAGCUCGAGAACGACCGGCUCCUGCUCAAGAUCUCCGAGAAGGAGGAGGUGACCACGCGCGAGGUAAGCGGGAUCAAGGCUCUGUAUGAGUCAGAGCUGGCGGAUGCCCGCCGCGUCCUGGAUGAGACGGCCCGAGAGCGCGCCAGGCUGCAGAUCGAGAUGGGCAAGCUGAGGGCCGAGCUGGAGGAGAGCAACAAGAGCUCCAAGAAGAGAGAGGGCGAGCUCACGGUGGCACAGGGCCGCGUGAAGGACCUGGAGUCCCUGUUCCACCGCAGCGAGGUGGAGCUGGCUGCAGCGCUCAGCGAAAAGCGUGGCCUGGAGAGCGACGUGGCCGAGCUGCGGGCCCAGCUUGCCAAGGCUGAGGACGGCCACAUGGUGGCAAAAAAACAGCUGGAGAAGGAGACACUGAUGCGUGUGGACCUGGAGAACCGCUGUCAGAGCCUGCAGGAGGAGCUCGACUUCCGGAAGAGUGUGUUUGAGGAGGAGGUGCGGGAGACGCGGCGGCGGCACGAGCGGCGCCUGGUGGAGGUGGACAGUAGCCGGCAGCAGGAGUACGACUUCAAGAUGGCACAGGCGCUGGAGGAGCUGCGCAGCCAGCACGACGCUCAAGUGCAGCUGUACCGCGCCGAGCUGGAGCAGACCUACCAGGCCAAGCUGGAGAGCGCCAAGCUGAGCUCCGACCAGAACGACAAGGCGGCCAGCGCAGCCCGGGAGGAACUGAAGGAAGCCCGCAUGCGGGUGGAGUCCCUCAGCUACCAGCUCUCCGGCCUCCAGAAGCAGGCCAGUGCUGCUGAGGACCGCAUCCGGGAGCUGGAGGAGAUGAUGGCCGGGGAGCGGGACAAGUUCCGGAAGAUGCUGGAUGCCAAGGAGCAGGAGAUGACGGAGAUGCGGGACGUGAUGCAGCAGCAGUUGGCCGAGUACCAGGAGCUGCUGGACGUCAAGCUGACCCUGGACAUGGAGAUCAGUGCUUACCGCAAGCUCCUGGAGGGCGAGGAGGAGAGGUGCGGGUGGCCGGGGCGCAGCGAGGGGUGGCCACCAGGGAGGCUCCCUCCUGGCGAUCCUCGGGGCGGGCGGCUCUGCCUGCUGCUCACGCCACCCCUGUCCCCAAGGCUGAAGCUGUCCCCGAGCCCGUCAUCGCGGGUCACCAUCUCCCGGGCCACCUCGAGCAGCAGCAGCAGCAUGUCCACGGCAGGCCGCCCGGGCCGCAAGCGGAAGCGGCUGGAGGUGGAGGAGUCCCUGGGCACGGGCUCCAGCGGCAUCGGCACUGGCAGCAGCACCGGCAGCACCGGCAGCUUCCAGGUGUCCCAGCAGGCGUCAGCCAGCGGCAGCGUCACCAUCGAGGAGAUCGACCUGGAGGGCAAGUUCGUGCAGCUGAAGAACAACUCGGACAAGGACCAGUCUCUGGGGAACUGGAGGAUCAAGAGGCAGGUCCUGGAAGGGGAUGAGAUCGCUUACAAGUUCACGCCGAAAUACGUGCUGCGGGCCGGCCAGAUGGUCACGGUGUGGGCUGCUGGGGCGGGCGUGUCCCACAGCCCCCCUGCCACGCUUGUGUGGAAGAGCCAGCAGAGCUGGGGCACGGGUGAGAGCUUCCGGACGACCCUGGUCAACGCUGAUGGAGAGGUGGGUCCUCAGGCUCUGGGCUGGGGGCCCUGGGGUGGUGUGUUCCUGGCGCCCCCCAUCCCAGGUAUGGCCACAGCCCUGUGUGCCACGCGCCCACAGCCCCCAUCUUGCACAGGAAGUGGCCAUGAGAACCGUGAAGCAGUCCUCGGCGGUGCAGGGGACUGAGGAUGGGGAGGAGGAAGACGACGACGAGGAGGCUGACUUUGGCGAGGAGGAUGUUUUUCACCAACAGGGGGACCCCAGGACCACCUCGAGGGGCUGCCGCGUGAUGUGAACACUCCUCACACACCUUUCUUCACCAAGAGCCACUGAAAACUAUUUUUAUACCAUUGACAUUCUUUCCUCCUUGAUACCUUUCUAGAGAAUUUUUAAGCAAACUGCGGGAACACGGGGUGGGCCGCUCUUCAUUCCUGUUGGUGGGUUUCCUCAGCCCCUCCCUUCGCGCCACUGCCCAGGAGGUGUUUUUCCACCCCAUUCCGUUUGUCUGGAUUUGAGGCCCUGGCCAGGACCCUCAUGGCCGUGGCAGGACCGGGAGGCGGGAGGCAGUGCUCCUUGGCAGCUGCUGCCUCGGCGUGGGAGGGAGGGGACGGGCAGGAAACAGCGGAACUGCUUAGGAAUUCAGUAGUGUGGUGUGUGUGUGCGUUUCAGCUUUUUAGAAACCAAACUCAGAAUCCAGGGUCUGGCCUGGUGGGGGACGGGGCUCAUGUAAACCCCCCGUGCCCAGUGGCAGGCUUCUAUUUAUUUGGCCUGGGCUUAGGGUUUCCAGAAACCCCCACCCUGGCAGCCCUGGCACCAGUCUCUGGGUGCUCUGGGGGCCCUCCUGGAGUUCCCUCUGUGCUCUGCCCAAGCCUUUUAUUUCGGGAUUUCUGUGGUUCCUGUUGGGGUGGGAGAAAAGAGAACCUGGAGCAAUUCCCGGUCAUUUAGUGUCUGUACUCUCAGAAGCGAGCCUGUGGCCGUCAGAACUGUCCACAUGGAACACAAUGCACUCCUGGCCCUGCCCUUGGGGAGGAACAUGAUUGGGGGGUGCACCGCGGGGUUCCCCAUUCUAACCCCGGUCCCUCCAUGUACACCUGCUUAGGGAUACUGGAGCCCUUAUCCGUAACCUCCCUGCUGAAAUCAGGCUGCUCAGUCAGACACACAGGUGCAGACUCGCUCACCUUGGCAGAAGGUUCCAGAUCUCAGCCCAGUUCCACUUGCCAGGCCCCUUUCCGUGUUACCUUGCUCUUUCAGCUUGCUCACGUAGAUGCCCAGACGUUAUUUUUUUAAUGGAUAUUUAUUUUUUUACAUUUGUCAGUACAGACUGCUGGUAUCUGGCACUGCUGACAGCCCCCUUGUCCUCGGGGGCCUGUCGCAGGGCAGUGCUGAACCCCCAAACAACCAGCUUCCUUCAGAAAGUGCAGCUUGAGUCUUAGAGACGCCAACACUGAGCCUCGAAUGCGUUCCGCCCAGAGGACAAAGCAUGGGACGCCCCACUCCCAGCCGGGGUUGGCAGCUGUCCUUACAAACUGCUCCACCCCAUCUUGCACACUCUGUCCGCGUGGCCGGCAUGUCUGGCUUUCCUUGGGAAUUGCUUGUGGUGAGGAUGGAACUGGAUCUCUGUGCCAGGACCGUGUCAGCAGCUGACAAACGGAAAACUGCCGUCUUUGAUGCUGCUUCCAGAAUGUGCCAGCGGCCCUGUGAGCCUGGGCUUUUUCCUUUGUGCGGUACCAGAACAAUUCCUGAUGAAGGCCAGACACCCCCAAGCUACUGGCUCCAUUCUGGCCAGCUGUGGCGAGCUUGGCCCACCCCGGCAGAUGUAGCUCCCCUCUGCCGUCGUGUCUGAGCCUUUCCUGGGGCCAUGGUGAGAGCGGGAGUGCUGGUGCUAGGUGCCUAGGCCCCACGAGCCACAUGCGCUCUCCCUUUCCCUGCCACUGUAGCAGGAACCACAGGAUCUGACAGGCUGGGUUUGCUAUCAGUGCAGGUUCUAGAAAGCAGAAACUGAUGCUCCGGAGGGUGGGUUCUUAGCAGCCCCCAAACAUGGAAAGUCUGGUCGUGGCCACAUCCUAAGUAUUUUGGAAAUCACUGGGAAUCAAAGACACUUCUGGAGACUGGCCUGUGCUCUGCCGCAGGGGCCCUGUAGGCUGAGCUGGUGGGCAGCAUGGAAUGGGGGCUGAGCCUCUCCACAGGCCCAGGGCAUCAAUGGGGGUGGUCACUCCUGGCAGAUCCUGGCUGCUCACCCCUGUUUUGCAUCCUCACUCCCCCCUGAACAGAACCAGAGUCAUGGCUGAGGUGGCCUCGGGAGGAGCUGGGCAGAGGCCCAGGCGUCGGUGGGAGGGCUGCUGGACUGGGCAGCUGGUGGGUGACGCAUUCAGCUGACAACAGCCACAUUUCCGUAAUUGGAAAUGUGGAGCAGAACCUGGUUUUUCUUAACAUGUUGACUAUGGCCUGGGAAAUACUUUGUCCUUGUCCUUAAAUAUGCUAAACUUUAUGCCACUUAAAACGAUGCAGAAUUAUUGGUUUGUAUAAGCUCAUAUCCCAGCACUCCAGGCAGAUACCCUUGAAAUGCUAAGAUAUAGAGAAAAACAGACUGGCCCACUCUGGGUGCAGGACGGCCGUGGCCACCAGGCCUGCCAGGCUGGGAGUCAACACUAAGGACUUGGUCCACGGGGCAGCCGCGUACCGAUGACAAUGUGGGUUCCUUUUUACAGGCACUCCCCGCCCCGCAGCAGUUCCGUUUAUAGGAUCACAGGACUGACAUUCCCCGUGGACUGGACCCCUCUGGGCCGUGCGCUGAGUGUGCAGUGCCACAGCAGCACAGCAGCGAGCGGAAUCUGGUUGAGAGAGCUACGGGCUGGCCCAGACUUCCAUUUCAGAGACCUAGUGGGUUUUUAAAAAGUUGCAUGCCAAACCCGUGGUCUUUUUCUCCCCCUGAAGAUUUGUAAUAUACAUUUUAUGACUGGAAACCUUUUUGUACAACACUCCAAUAAACGUUUUGAUUUUA